CGUGUAGGAAAUCCUGCCCUCCCCUUACCACCUCUUAGGACAGCUUUGGCCUCAGUUAGGGUCACUCUCGGGUCCUUAAGAACAUCGCACAGAAUCAGAUGGUACCAGGGAGUUAAUUCAGGGAAUUUUUAAAAAGUGACUUUUUCUGAAAAACAGAAGACACAGAUACCAUAUUGUUAAACAUUUUGUCUAAUGUCCCAAAAUGGGAGCCAAAAAGAAUAUAAAUGUACUUCCAAAAGAGCAAUAUGUACCACAGGAUGGCUGCUGAUGUACACUGGAAAAGAUGAAGCAAAGAAAACACUUGCAGAAGACCAUUAAAUCCAGUCCUAAGACAACAAAGUCAGUGUUCAAGAAAAAUAUUCCAUCAGCAAGAAUAAUUGGUUCCCUUAAUCUUCUAUGUAGAGUACAGCAGACAUAUGCAUUUUCCUGAGGCUUGGUAAAUGGCUCUGCCAAAAGUUCUUUCCACAUAUAUAAAUAUCAUCAAGAAGAUAAAUGCAAAAUGGUUAGUAUUGCUUGGAGUUAUAAGGAUGGUAGAGAAAAAAGAAACUUGGCAUCAGAGUCAUAUGAUCUGGGUUCACAUAUCCAAAGGGCCAUAAAACUACACAUACCCUUUGUCCCAACAAUAUCACUACUAGGUCUCUAUCCCAAAGAAAGCAGAGAUAAGAGAAAAGGACGUGCUUAUACAAAAUAUUUUUAGCAGUUCUUUUUGUAGUAACAAAGAAUUGGAAACUGAGGAGAUACCCAUCAAUUGGGGGAAUGGCUGAACAAGUCGUGGUGGUAUUUGGUUGUAAUGGAAAACUAUUGUGCUAUAAGAAAUGAUGAACAGGAUGACUUCAGAAAAAAAACUGGAAAGAUGUAUAUGAACUGAUGCAAAUUGAAGUGAACACAAGAAGAACAUUGUAUACAGUAACAGAAAUACUAGUCUGUGAUCAACUGUGAAGGACUUAACUAUUAUGAGAUAAGCAAGGUUCCAAGUUAAUCCCAAGGGAUUUAUAAUAACAAUAAAAAAAAGAAA